UACGUAGGGUGCGAGCGUUGUCCGGAAUUAUUGGGCGUAAAGAGCUUGUAGGCGGUUUGUCGCGUCUGCCGUGAAAAUCCGAGGCUCAACCUCGGACUUGCGGUGGGUACGGGCAGACUAGAGUGUGGUAGGGGAGACUGGAAUUCCUGGUGUAGCGGUGAAAUGCGCAGAUAUCAGGAGGAACACCGAUGGCGAAGGCAGGUCUCUGGGCCACUACUGACGCUGAGACGCGAAAGCGUGGGGAGCGAACAGG
rnacentral:rRNA from 1 species